CUGUUGUUGUACACGUUGCAAUGUUUAAUUUGCUAUCUGUAACAUAAUUUUGCUUUUUUGACAGUGUAUCUGAGGUGUGAGAAGUACAAAUCAAGCACAGACUGAAACAUUUUAAAAUACCAGUGUUUGCCAGAGCGUCCUCUCCAAAUUCUCAUAAAGACAGCUGACUUCCCUUAGCAAGAUCGCCAUAUGGGGUGCACUUCUGAGGAUGCACGUAAUUAGGUCUGCUGCUGCGGCAGAUGUUUAUGGAAAUAAAUUCCCACAGCUGACUCUGUGUGCAGAGACACUUUGUGAAAGGAAUGAAGUGGCUUGCAGUCAGCAACACCCUCCACAGAUACAACCAUUUCCUGCAUAAAAAGGAGAACAGAGCAGAGAGGAGAGGCAGGCUGGAUGAUGUGACUCCUCAUUUUAGGAGCUGCACAUCUCGAUGCUUAGGUGACUGAAUCAUUCCACUAUUUCUCUGUUAGGUGGCAGAAGUGUGUUUCUGUCAGGGGUUUGCAUCACAAAACAAAUACUGUGGCUUGCUUAUCAUGUCUGGGGAGAGCUUUCCAGGCAGGCUAGUGUGAGAGGUGGGAUUAAAACCCUAAUUUGCUUUUUGUCUGUGUUUCAUUUUUUGUAUGAUCUUUCUCUUAGAAAAGUCAGUGGGAGAAUUCUCCAUUUAAACUGUGUUUUCAUUGGCAUGGCUUGCAUUAAUUUUUAUCAUGUUGAUUUAUCCCUCUUUUUGCCCAGAGGUUGCUGGCUAGUGGAUGUCCUCAGCUGCAGGAAGCAGAUGACAUGGGAGUUUAAAGUGGCCUCUGACAAUCCAGCAUUUUCACGCCCCUGCCAUGGUCCUGAAAGAUCUUACCAAGGACAGAGCGAUGGAGGAGGUUUGCCUGCCUUACAGUCUGAGGCAGUUGGUGUUAGGGAUCGCACAACAGCAACCAGAUGGAUGGAGGCAGUGUGCCUUCCCGUGUUUGCCAGGAAACUUUGCUCUGUCUUGGGCAAUCCAGGUGUUUGACAACUCCAGGUAAGAACCACUAAUGAAUUCAUGUAGUGAUUUGGAUUAAGAAGAUCAAGGAUGAAUUAACUAAUUUGGACCAGAUCACACAGGAAAUCUAUUGAAUAAUCGGGAAUAGGUAUCUUCAUUUUCUGGGCUUAUUCUAAGUGCAAAAAUGUAUAGGGCUAUCUGUGAGGACCUCCUCCUAUGAUGCACAACAAUGACGUUAAGACUCGGUCUCUGUUACACACACAGCAGCCAAACGAUGAGGAAAAAAAUUGCAAAAUACAGGGAGAACUAUGAUAAUAAUAAUUUACAGAUAGCUUUUUUGUUUUUUGAGGUAUCUCUUUUUUACUGUUUAGAGGAGGCAUUAACAUAUGGAUAAGUAUCAGUUAGCUGAAGUGGACAUAGUAGUAGUAAUUAUUAUUUGUAAUCCCUAGUAGACUUGUAAGGUAAGGAAAAAGACUUUCAAAGACAAAUCUUCCUCAGUUCAUUGCCACCGAUUUCUGUUCAUCUGAAGAUACAGAAUAAAUAUACUGCCAAGCCUUGCCUCUCUCCUUCU
ensembl:lncRNA